rnacentral:rRNA from 1 species
AGUAGGGCGGGACACGUGUUAUCCUGUCUGAAUAUGGGGGGACCAUCCUCCAAGGCUAAAUACUCCUGACUGACCGAUAGUGAACCAGUACCGUGAGGGAAAGGCGAAAAGAACCCCUGUGAGGGGAGUGAAAUAGAACCUGAAACCGUGUACGUACAAGCAGUAGGAGCACCUUCGUGGUGUGACUGCGUACCUUUUGUAUAAUGGGUCAGCGACUUAUAUUCAGUGGCAAGGUUAACCAUCUAGGGGAGCCGUAGGGAAACCGAGUCUUAACUGGGCGCCAUAGUCUCUGGAUAUAGACCCGAAACCGAGUGAUCUAGCCAUGGGCAGGUUGAAGGUUGAGUAACAUCAACUGGAGGACCGAACCGACUAAUGUUGAAAAAUUAGCGGAUGACUUGUGGCUAGGGGUGAAAGGCCAAUCAAACUCGGAGAUAGCUGGUUCUCCCCGAAAGCUAUUUAGGUAGCGCCUCGGACGAAUACUACUGGGGGUAGAGCACUGUUAAGGCUAGGGGGUCAUCCCGACUUACCAACCCUUUGCAAACUCCGAAUACCAGUAAGUACUAUCCGGGAGACACACGGCGGGUGCUAACGUCCGUCGUGGAGAGGGAAACAACCCAGACCGCCAGCUAAGGUCCCAAAUUACAGCUAAGUGGGAAACGAUGUGGGAAGGCUUAGACAGCUAGGAUGUUGGCUUAGAAGCAGCCAUCAUUUAAAGAAAGCGUAAUAGCUCACUAGUCGAGUCGGCCUGCGCGGAAGAUGUAACGGGGCUAAGUUGUAAACCGAAGCUGCGGCAAUGUUCUAUGAACAUUGGGUAGGGGAGCGUUCUGUAAGCCGUUGAAGGUGUGUUGUAAAGCAUGCUGGAGGUAUCAGAAGUGCGAAUGCUGACAUGAGUAACGACAAGGGGGGUGAAAAACCUCCCCGCCGGAAGACCAAGGGUUCCUGUCCAACGUUAAUCGGGGCAGGGUAAGUCGACCCCUAAGGCGAGGCUGAAAAGCGUAGUCGAUGGGAAACGGGUUAAUAUUCCCGUACUUCUUACAAUUGCGAUGGGGGGACGGAGAAGGCUAGGUGGGCCUGGCGACGGUUGUCCAGGUUCAAGUGCGUAGGCUGAGUGUUUAGGUAAAUCCGGACACUCUUAAGGCUGAGACACGACGUCGAGCUACUACGGUAGUGAAGUCAUUGAUGCCAUGCUUCCAGGAAAAGCCUCUAAGCUUCAGAUUGUAAGGAAUCGUACCCCAAACCGACACAGGUGGUCGGGUAGAGAAUACCAAGGCGCUUGAGAGAACUCGGGUGAAGGAACUAGGCAAAAUGGUACCGUAACUUCGGGAGAAGGUACGCUCUUGAUGGUGAAGUCCCUUGCGGAUGGAGCUGACGAGAGUCGCAGAUACCAGGUGGCUGCAACUGUUUAUUAAAAACACAGCACUGUGCAAAAUCGUAAGAUGACGUAUACGGUGUGACGCCUGCCCGGUGCCGGAA